UACGUAGGGUGCGAGCGUUGUCCGGAAUCAUUGGGCGUAAAGGGCUCGUAGGCGGUCCAUCGCGUCGGGAGUGAAACGCUGGGGCUUAACCCCAGUCCUGCUUUCGAUACGGGUGGACUAGAGGUAGGCAGGGGAGAAUGGAAUUCCUGGUGUAGCGGUGAAAUGCGCAGAUAUCAGGAGGAACACCGGUGGCGAAGGCGGCCAUCUGGCUCGGUACUGACGCUCAGGCGCGAAAGCGUGGGGAGCAAACAGG
rnacentral:rRNA from 1 species